rnacentral:lncRNA from 10 species
CUCCCCACUGGCCCCCUUUCCCCUGCCUAAGGGGAGGCCACAGCCACGGGAAGGGCUCAAGAAUGGACUUCAGGGGUCCCUGAGACCCCAGAACUUUCAACUCUGAGUGACGUUCUUGCACUGGGAAGGGCCACUGUUCCUGCAGGUCCGGACUCUAUUUUGGAGACUCCGCCAGCUCUAGCAGGAGGGAGGCUCACCCUUGCUUCUGCCCUCAGGACAGAUGUGGGGACACUUUGCACCCCAAGUCCUCCUAGCCAUGCCCGGCACCUCCCACCAAGUCUUGUCCACACAGGGAGCGUCAGGCCACCCUGCCUGUCACACCCCAGUUGCCUUCCUGUCUUUUCAUCUUUUUGCUCUGUCCAUCCACUCAUCCAUUGGUCCGUCCAGCAAUAACCUGAGACCUGCUCCGUCCUAAGUGUAUGAGAGAGUUCUGCCCUUUGGGGUUUAGUCUGGUGGGGGAGACAGGUGUUAAGACAGUGAGCCCGCAACUCCCCGCUGCGCUAAUGCCAUGAAGGCAGGGCCAGCCGCAGCAAGAGGAAUCACAGUGGGGGCAACUGGUUCCACGCAGGAGUUGAGGGUGCCAUGUUUCCAGCAUGACCCCCAAGCAGCCACCAUGAGUCAGAAGCAACCCAAGACCGUCAGACACUGCGCACUUGCUUCGAGGACUCUAGCAAGCAGAGCUGGGCUCUAUGAAGAGUAAAUACAAGAGCAAACAUCCACCACUCUUUCUACACAAGUUUAUUAGGCACCUGCUGGGUAUCACGUGUGGAGACAAGCUGGACAACGUAACAAUCCGCAAGGCAGCUACGGCCUUGCCCUGGAGCUCCCAGUCUAGCAGGGGUGGAAAACAGGUAAGCCCCCCAGCGGAAGCCCCAGACCUGGCAUGCUGUGAGGUCGGGGAAGGAGCGGGGGCUUUCCCGAGGAGGCGUCAGUGAGGGUGGA